GAGUUUGAUUCUGGCUCAGGAUGAACGCUAGCGGCAGGCCUAACACAUGCAAGUCGAGGGGUAAGGAGAGCUUGCUCUCCCUAGACCGGCGUACGGGUGCGUAACACGUGUACAAUCUACCUUUUACUAAGGGAUAGCCCGAAGAAAUUUGGAUUAAUACCUUAUAGUAUUAUUUUAUGGCAUCAUUAAAUAAUUAAAGCUACGGUGGUAAAAGAUGAGUACGCGUCCCAUUAGCUAGUUGGAGUGGUAACGGCACACCAAGGCUACGAUGGGUAGGGGUUCUGAGAGGGAUGUCCCCCACACUGGUACUGAGACACGGACCAGACUCCUACGGGAGGCAGCAGUGAGGAAUAUUGGACAAUGGUCGGAAGACUGAUCCAGCCAUGCCGCGUGCAGGAUGACGGCCUUAUGGGUUGUAAACUGCUUUUAUACCAGGAAGAAUAAGGUCUACGAGUAG
rnacentral:rRNA from 1 species